rnacentral:rRNA from 1 species
UACGAAGGGGGCUAGCGUUGUUCGGAUUUACUGGGCGUAAAGCGCACGUAGGCGGAUCUUUAAGUCAGAGGUGAAAUCCCAAGGCUCAACCUUGGAACUGCCUUGAUACUGGGUAUCUUGAGUAUGGAAGAGGUAAGUGGAAUUGCGAGUGUAGAGGUGAAAUUCGUAGAUAUUCGCAGGAACACCAGUGGCGAAGGCGGCUUACUGGUCCAUAACUGACGCUGAGGUGCGAAAGCGUGGGGAGCAAACAGG